rnacentral:piRNA from 1 species
GCCAUCCACAGGAUCCAUUUAUUUCUUUCC